CCCUUAGAUGUUCUGGGCCGCACGCGUGCUACACUGAGUGGAUCAGCGGGUCAGGUUGCGCGAAAGCGUUUCCUAAUCUUUAAAUCCGCUCGUGAUGGGGAUUGACGGUUGCAAUUUUCUGUCAUGAACGAGGAAUACCUUGUAAGCGCGGGUCAUCAUCCCGCGCUGAAUACGUCCCUGCCCUUUGUACACACCGCCCGUCGGUCCUACCGAUUGAGUGGUCCGGUGAGGCUUUGGGAUCUGAGCGGAAAGAGCGUUUCGCUGUUUCUGCUCGGAAAACUCAGUCGAACCUUAUCAUUUAGAGGAAGGAGAAGUCGUAACA
rnacentral:rRNA from 1 species